CCUCCGCUACAGCAACAGCUCACCCUCCCCAUCUUCCCCAACGCCGCUAGCCUCCACGCGGCUCGCUGCGGCGCGGCGCCGGUAGCACCGUCGCCUCCAACAGGCGCUACUGGCUGCCGUCCGGCUCUCCACGCCUUGCAGCGCGCUGAGUGAGAUGGCGCGGCCGGGCCCUCGCGCAAGGUGGCGGUGAUGUAGUGCGGGGCCAUCACGCGCAGCGUCGUUCAUCGCUACCAGUAGCGCUUGCCGCUCGUGGGGCCGAGGUGGCAGAUGCGACAUCGACCGUCAAGGAGCCGCGCGGGGGGAGACGGCGCACCGCGUCGCCGGGAAGGCAUCGACGUCCUUGUUCUCGCCCCCUGGCGCCGCCAUUCGGCCUCGGCCCAUAUAAGUUGGUGGGCUAGGUUUGCAGAUAAGAGAGAUGGAGAUGGAUGGAUGAUUCGAGUCUGGGAUGGAAGGAAGGAUUCCUUCCCUUACCUUACCAUGCACAGAGGUGAGAGGUUACAUUUGUUGAUGAUUCCCUGCUACUAGGUAUGCGACCCUUCUGUCACUGUCUACAAAGGCUAUUCUCUGCGUAAAGAAACUAAGGAUUAUCUUGCUAGGCAUGGGUUAAGAAAUGCUGUCUAUUCCAUUGAUGCUGCAGAUGCAAUAGAUGGGUUGUUUGAUGAUCUGGUUCUCCGCCCUUUUCAGGUGAUCUAUAAGUAGUUGUAUGAUAUAAGCAGCUUUGAUUGGCAAUUUGGCAAGACAAAGCUAGAAUCUUGCAUAGUUUAGCAGACAUUGACUUCUAAGCAGAGCUUAAAAGUAUGCCUCUUCCAACUUCUCUCUACUUUAUUUCCAUCAUGGUCAUUUUUUUUGCAUAGUACCUAAACAUAAAUUUUCUACUGCAGGUUUCAAGAAUCUACUGACAGCAACAAUACCAAACUUGGUUACUCCACCACAAUGAGGAUUUCGAAGUUCUAACCAACACAUCAUUCAUAGAUAAAGAUAAUGAGAUACACUAUUACUUCUUAGCUUGAUCUCCCAUGGCCUCUGUUUUCGUAAUCAUAAAUGUGCAGCCUGAGAAUAAGUAUACAAAAGAAUUUGCUAUAAAUGAAUGGUACUCUAUACUUGAAGUCUUUUGUAUAUUUGCUAAUGAAUGUUUGAUGAUUGAAAAGGUGAUCUAUUAUAUAAUAUCCAUAUCUGAAACUA